rnacentral:rRNA from 1 species
CUUGAACGCUGGCGGCAGGCCUAACACAUGCAAGUCGAGCGAGCGGCGGACGGGUGAGUAAUGUAUGGGGACUGCCCGAUAGAGGGGGAUAACUACUGGAAACGGUGGCUAAUACCGCAUACUAUCGGAUAACCCAUAUGGGAUUAGCUAGUAGGUGGGGUAAAGGCUCACCUAGGCGACGAUCUCUAGCUGGUCUGAGAGGGUGAGCAGCAACACUGGGACAGAGACACGGCCCAGACUCCUACGGAUGGAGAAGUGAGGAACAUUGAACAAUGGGCGCAAGCCUGAUGCAGCCAUGCCGCGUGUAUGAAGAAGGACUUAGGGUUGUAAAGUACUUACAGCGAGGAGGCGUUACCCGCAGAAGAAGCACCGGCUAACUCCGUGCCAGCAGCCGCGGUAAUAC